UACGUAGGGGGCUAGCGUUGUCCGGAUUUAUUGGGCGUAAAGAGCGUGUAGGCGGUUAGGUAGGUCCGGUGUGAAAACUCGAGGCUUAACCUCGAGAGGUCGCCGGAAACCAUCUGGCUAGAGUCCGGAAGAGGAGAGUGGAAUUCCUGGUGUAGCGGUGAAAUGCGCAGAUAUCAGGAAGAACACCGAUGGCGAAAGCAGCUCUCUGGGACGGUACUGACGCUGAGACGCGAAAGCGUGGGGAGCGAACAGG
rnacentral:rRNA from 1 species